rnacentral:antisense_RNA from 1 species
AUAAAGAUAACGGGAGUUGCAGUCCGUCGUCAUUGCCAAUGCUUUUUUCGUGCCGCGGAUGCGGACAACGGCAGCAUCUGAACCCGGUGUAACAACUGUAUUGGUUCUUACCAUGUA